AUGAGGGAUAUUGCACAAUGGGCGAAAGCCUGAUGCAGCGACGCCGCGUGGGUGAUGAAGUCCUUCGGGAUGUAAAGCCCUUUUCUCGGGGAAGAUACGGACGGUACCCGAGGAAGAAGCCCCGGCUAACUACGUGCCAGCAGCCGCGGUAAUACGUAGGGGGCGAGCGUUGUCCGGAUUUACUGGGCGUAAAGCGCGUGUAGGCGGUCCCUUAAGUCCGGGGUGAAAGGCGGAGGCUCAACCUCCGAGCGGCCACGGAAACUGGGGGUCUUGAGUGUCGGAGAGGGGAGUGGAAUUCCUGGUGUAGCGGUGAAAUGCGUAGAGAUCAGGAGGAACACCGGUGGCGAAGGCGGCUCCCUGGCCGAACACUGACGCUGAGACGCGAAAGCGCGGGGAGCGAACGG
rnacentral:rRNA from 1 species